CCCUGCAGGUGUGAGAGGACCUCCGGAGGAUCGGCCGGUCUCUCACGGCAGAGACGUUCCAGGUCUCCUGUCCUAUCCUCGUGUGGAACAGCCUCCUCGAGUCCGCCUGCAUUCUACUCUGAGGAGGCCCACACUUCCGCGGACGAUACAAACGUUGAGGACAUAACAGGAUACCUCGAACAUUAUUUAUUUAUUCCAAAG